rnacentral:rRNA from 1 species
AACGUAGGAGGCGAGCGUUAUCCGGAUUUACUGGGCGUAAAGCGCGCGCAGGCGGCUUGGCAAGUCGGGCGUGAAAGCUCCUGGCUUAACUGGGAGAGGUCGUUCGAUACUGCUGGGCUUGAGGUUGGGAGAGGGGUGUGGAAUUCCCGGUGUAGUGGUGGAAUGCGUAGAUAUCGGGAGGAACACCAGUGGCGAAGGCGGCACCCUGGCCCACACCUGACGCUGAGGUGCGAAAGCGUGGGGAGCAAAC